rnacentral:rRNA from 1 species
UGGGGAAUAUUGCACAAUGGGCGCAAGCCUGAUGCAGCCAUGCCGCGUGUAUGAAGAAGGCCUUCGGGUUGUAAAGUACUUUCAGUCGGGAGGAAGGUGUUAAGGUUAAUAACCUUGACAAUUGACGUUACCGACAGAAGAAGCACCGGCUAACUCCGUGCCAGCAGCCGCGGUAAUACGGAGGGUGCAAGCGUUAAUCGGAAUUACUGGGCGUAAAGCGCACGCAGGCGGUUGAUUGAGUCAGAUGUGAAAUCCCCGGGCUUAACCCGGGAAUUGCAUCUGAUACUGGUCAGCUAGAGUCUUGUAGAGGGGGGUAGAAUUCCAUGUGUAGCGGUGAAAUGCGUAGAGAUGUGGAGGAAUACCGGUGGCGAAGGCGGCCCCCUGGACAAAGACUGACGCUCAGGUGCGAAAGCGUGGGGAGCAAACA